UACGGGGGGGGCAAGCGUUGUUCGGAAUUACUGGGCGUAAAGGGCGCGUAGGCGGCCGUUUGCGUCGGAUGUGAAAGCCCGGGGCUCAACCUCGGAACGGCAUUCGAUACGGGACGGCUGGAGACCGGGAGAGGAGAGUGGAAUAGCCAGUGUAGAGGUGAAAUUCGUAGAUAUUGGCUGGAACACCGGUGGCGAAAGCGGCUCUCUGGCCCGGUUCUGACGCUGAGGCGCGAAAGCGUGGGGAGCAAACAGG
rnacentral:rRNA from 1 species